CUGAACGUGUGUGUGCGCAUGUGCGUGUAAGUGUAUAACGUAACUGGCAUGGGGUGGGACUUCCCCUCCCGCAGAGCGUGGUGCCCCUGACAUAGGAAACCCCCCUCCGCAGCUACCAGUGCUGGUGCUGGGGCUGGGCAGUGGGUGACAGUUGCCCUGCAACCGGGCUCAGCAGUGACGCUGGAGCCCCUGUCCCUCCCCAGAAUUCCCGGCUCUUGGGGAUCACCUGGCAUGGCCUGCAGCCCCUCUGCGGCUUGCCCGGUCUGAGGUGGAGGGGCCUCGCCCUUGGGGCAGGAGGAGAGGAGGCAGGUGGCUGAUAAGGAGACCCAUUUUGGGCCACACCCUUUAAGACCUUUGCUUUCCUCCUGGCAAAGUCCUGGCCUCCGGGAUACAGGGUAUCACUGGGACCAAGGAAAGGACAUAGAAGCAAGACCCGUACUAGGCUCAGAGAGGAACAGAGGCCGUGGGCAACGUAGGGUCAAGCAUUUGCUCCCUUGGUGUCCCCUGCCUCUGUCCAGCACUCCAAAAAAAGGCCUCCCCGCCAUGACCAGAACCACCCAGAGGCUUGGUGCUGCACACGGAAUAAGGGCAGACACCUAGAUGCUGCCAGAGUCCACCCUGUGGCCCCGUAACUGGUGACCUUGUGCAAGUCUUUUCCUCUCCCUGCAAGGAUGGGACUCUCAGGGAAGGAUCUCAGGGAGUACCUGGGGAGGACUGAGCACCAGCACUGGGCUUGACAUUCAGGGAGUGCUUAACCAAUAGCAGAUUCUGCCAUCAUUCUCAUGUCCUGCUGAAGGUACUCUUCUGGCGGCUACCUUGACCAUCCAUGCAACACAGGCCCCGCCCCCAAGUGGCUCAGAGUGCAGAGAUGCAGAGGCAGCUGUGGGAGACCGUGGUUAAGCCAGGAGAAUCAAGGAUCAAAAGUUUGAGCCCAGUCUGCGCAAUUUACCAACUUAGUGUAAAACUUUGUCCAAAUAAAAUAAAAAUUUAAAAGAG